rnacentral:rRNA from 1 species
UAUCAUUAACUGAAUCCAUAGGUUAAUGAGGCGAACCGGGGGAACUGAAACAUCUAAGUACCCCGAGGAAAAGAAAUCAACCGAGAUUCCCCCAGUAGCGGCGAGCGAACGGGGAGGAGCCCAGAGCCUGAAUCAGCAUGUGUGUUAGUGGAAGCGUCUGGAAAGGCGCGCGAUACAGGGUGACAGCCCCGUACACAAAAGCGCAUGUGCUGUGAGCUCGAUGAGUAGGGCGGGACACGUGGUAUCCUGUCUGAAUAUGGGGGGACCAUCCUCCAAGGCUAAAUACUCCUGACUGACCGAUAGUGAACCAGUACCGUGAGGGAAAGGCGAAAAGAACCCCGGCGAGGGGAGUGAAAAAGAACCUGAAACCGUGUACGUACAAGCAGUGGGAGCCCCACCACCAAAGCAUUUGCUGUACCGCGUUGACGGAGCGAAGCGACGUCAAACCGAUAAAACAGCAGUGUAAAGUGAGCCGCAGGGCGCUUUGCGCGACAGCGCAAAGGCAGGCGGUUU